UACGUAGGGUGCAAGCGUUAAUCGGAAUUACUGGGCGUAAAGCGUGCGCAGGCGGUUAUGCAAGACAGAUGUGAAAUCCCCGGGCUCAACCUGGGAACUGCAUUUGUGACUGUAUAGCUAGAGUACGGUAGAGGGGGAUGGAAUUCCGCGUGUAGCAGUGAAAUGCGUAGAUAUGCGGAGGAACACCGAUGGCGAAGGCAAUCCCCUGGACCUGUACUGACGCUCAUGCACGAAAGCGUGGGGAGCAAACAGG
rnacentral:rRNA from 1 species